UGUAACAGUGUGUGCAGUUCUUAUUAAACCUCCAUAACAUAAGCGCACACGUGCUACACACAUUAAGUGAGACGCCGUCACCGCGAGUAUUGACUGUCAGAGUGUUGUACAACGGCGUCCCGUGGUGGGAUAACUAAUUUUUUAGUGUUACAUCAAGGAAGCAAUCACCAGUAAAAAACACAGAGCAGAGCCAGCCCCUGACCUCAGGACAGCUGCAGCUGCAACGGGGAAUUCAACCCAAGUUGGCCUUUAUUUUUACAGGACAGCUGAAGACCUGAAAUGGGAGAGAGGGGGGAACGACAACAACAAAGGGCCUCAGGUUUGAGUCGAAUCCGUGGCCCCUGCGUCGAGGAGUAAACUUCUAUAUGGGCCCCUGCUCUACCAGAGCUGCAAUUAGAGCUCAGAUACCAGAAGCCUGCACACGGACAGGAAAGGAGCCUGAGGUUGAAUACAGCUCCGUGGUCUCACGCAGCACUGUGCAGACACCCUUACAUACUGUACCGGAAAAAGCAGAAGGGUACUUCAGUGGCCACCAUUCAUCUGAUCUGGUAGAUACAUGGAGGUGUUCAUGAGGAUUGACUGAGUGUAUUUCUGCCUCGCUGACUACGCCUUCGUCUCCUGAGAUGGGAUCUCUGAUGCGGGCCAGGCUCAUAUUUACAGAGCUGGAUUGUGACGGGGAAAGAGGGAAGGGACUGUGGUGAAGACGGGGGUGACGGAAUGCAGUUUUCUUAGUGGGAGAAGUGAAAGACUGUUGAAACUACUCUUAAAAUGCAGUCUGUCAAAGCAGAUAUCAAUACUUUGGAAUAGUAGCUGAUUUGUGUGUGCUGAUAGCCAAUAUCAUACCAGUUUACUAUUGUUUCCCCGCAGCGUUAUUCUUGUCAGCUUCUGAUCAGUACAUUCUUUCACAACACAGUAAGUCGAAGUUAAGGCCUUUACAUACACAACCAGUGUGUUCAUCAGCUCUAUAAUAAACAAAUCGUCAAUCAAACUGCAUCAUAUCCACCAUAAGGUCGACCACACUGACUUGGCAAAGCCUGUUUUUUAAUAAAAAUCUAAUAUUGACUUGAUAUAUUGGUUUGAUGUAC